rnacentral:rRNA from 1 species
UAUCACGGGAGACACACGGCGGGUGCUAACGUCCGUCGUGAAGAGGGAAACAACCCAGACCGCCAGCUAAGGUCCCAAAGUCAUGGUUAAGUGGGAAACGAUGUGGGAAGGCCCAGACAGCCAGGAUGUUGGCUUAGAAGCAGCCAUCAUUUAAAGAAAGCGUAAUAGCUCACUGGUCGAGUCGGCCUGCGCGGAAGAUGUAACGGGGCUAAACCAUGCACCGAAGCUGCGGCAGCGAACGUAUCACUUAAAGCGAUUCAGCGGGUUACGAUUGACGGAGCGAAGCGACGUCAAAGCGUAUACAAAGUCGAGUCGGUUUAAGGAUACGUUCGUUGGGUAGGGGAGCGUUCUGUAAGCCUGUGAAGGUGGCCUGUGAGGGUUGCUGGAGGUAUCAGAAGUGCGAAUGCUGACAUAAGUAACGAUAAAGCGGGUGAAAAGCCCGCUCGCCGGAAGACCAAGGGUUCCUGUCCAACGUUAAUCGGGGCAGGGUGAGUCGACCCCUAAGGCGAGGCCGAAAGGCGUAGUCGAUGGGAAACGGGUUAAUAUUCCCGUACUUGGUGUUACUGCGAAGGGGGGACGGAGAAGGCUAUGUUGGCCGGGCGACGGUUGUCCCGGUUUAAGCGUGUAGGUGUGUGUUCCAGGUAAAUCCGGUU